AGUGGGGGAUAACGCAGCGAAAGUUGCGCUAAUACCGCAUAUGCCCUGAGGGGGAAAGGAGGGGAUCGUAAGACCUUUCGCUUUCGGAGUGGCCGAUAUCGGAUUAGCUAGUAGGUGAGGUAAAGGCUCACCUAGGCGACGAUCCGUAGCUGGUCUGAGAGGACGACCAGCCACACUGGGACUGAGACACGGCCCAGACUCCUACGGGAGGCAGCAGUGGGGAAUUUUGGACAAUGGGCGCAAGCCUGAUCCAGCCAUGCCGCGUGAGUGAAGAAGGCCUUCGGGUUGUAAAGCUCUUUCGGACAGAAAGAAAUCCUAUCCGCUAAUACCGGGUGGGGAUGACGGUACUGUAAGAAGAAGCACCGGCUAACUACGUGCCAGCAGCCGCGGUAAUACGUAGGGUGCGAGCGUUAAUCGGAAUUACUGGGCGUAAAGCGUGCGCAGGCGGUUUGGUAAGACAGACGUGAAAUCCCCGGGCUUAACCUGGGAACUGCGUUUGUGACUGCCAGACUAGAGUGUAGCAGAGGGAGGUAGAAUUCCA
rnacentral:rRNA from 1 species